rnacentral:rRNA from 1 species
CCUACGGGAGGCAGCAGUAGGGAAUCUUCCACAAUGGGCGAAAGCCUGAUGGAGCAACGCCGCGUGGGUGAAGAAGGUCUUCGGAUCGUAAAACCCUGUUGUUAGAGAAGAAAGUGCGUGAGAGUAACUGUUCACGUUUCGACGGUAUCUAACCAGAAAGCCACGGCUAACUACGUGCCAGCAGCCGCGGUAAUACGUAGGUGGCAAGCGUUAUCCGGAUUUAUUGGGCGUAAAGGGAACGCAGGCGGUCUUUUAAGUCUGAUGUGAAAGCCUUCGGCUUAACCGGAGUAGUGCAUUGGAAACUGGGGGACUAGAGUGCAGAAGAGGAGAGUGGAACUCCAUGGGUAGCGGUGAAAUGCGUAGAUAUAUGGAAGAACACCAGUGGCGAAAGCGGCUCUCUGGUCUGUAACUGACGCUGAGGUUCGAAAGCGUGGGUAGCAAACAGGAUUAGAUACCUGAGUAGUC